rnacentral:misc_RNA from 1 species
AGGCACGGCUUUGAGUUGAUCUCGUUGGCCCCCGCACAUGGAUUAUUAAGUGAAAGUCUGGCUCGAGUUGAUCUCGCUUGCAGACCUUGGUUUAAGAGGGCUGGAUAGGGGGAUCAGCUCCCCAUAUAUGUAUGUGUGAGUAUGGAUGUGACACACAGGUGUGUGAGUAUGAUUUGUAUGAAGAUGACGCAUCUCAUUUCCAGGGAUACAUUAGAAUUAGAUAGUUAUAGAGAUUGUUUGUAAAAUAAAUCUUACUUUAUGAGUUGAACGCUCACUCCUGUUUAUCCUAUUUUUUAGGCUACAGGAGGAGUUCUUUUUCAGAGUAACCUGCUUUCUUCCUCACAAGUUUAACAUCAGUUAUUUAAUUAUUUUAUUAUUUUCUAAAAUUGAAAUCUAAAACUCCGCAUGUGUUAGCAGUAGU